AAUAGAGUAGAUUUGGUAGGUUGUUUGGUAUAGGAGAAAUAAAGAAGAGAGAGUAGUGUGAGUUCUCUCUCCUUUCGUUUGGUGGAAUAGAGAGUAAAGAGAGAGAGAGUUACUUUAAUUGGUAAAAGACAGUUUUGCCCAAACUUUUUUCCAUUCAACCCUUGUUUGCCAGCUAGUUCUUCCUUGAUCUCCCAGAUUCCCGUGAGUUCUUCCCAUCACCAUCUUCAAUCCAUCUUUUGACGACCCUGCCCACAGUGCGUUCCGCAGCCGUCCGACGACCCACUGCCACCGAUCGCACUUUUUUCUGUCAUCAAACUCGGUUGUUGCAAAAAUGACAAAGGGUAAGAGUCAAACUGUGGAACCUAGUCAAGUCCGUAACGAAGUCUUGAGGUGGACGGAUGACAUGGACCGAAUGUUAUUGAACGCCUUUAGCGAGGAAGCCGCCAAGGGACAUAGGUGUCAAGGUUCAUGGACAAUAGAAGCCUAUGCUAACGUUCUCCAAGCAUUACAGAUUGCUAUUUCACCAACCAUGAUGAAGCAACAUAUCAUAAUUAGAAUGAGGGCCUUGAGGGCUAGGUCAACUAGGCUGAGUGAUGGUGAACUCCUUUAGCAAUUCAUGUUCAGCCAAAAUUCUUUGUUGUCAUUAUGGAUAUGUACUUUUUUAAGUGUUUGUAAUAAGGACAUCAUCUGAUGCCUCUUGGUUAUUAUGUAAUUUGCAAUCUAUAGUGAAAGACAUGCAAUCUGUUUUAGGACAAAUGUGUUGUAAGCCUUUUGGAUAUCAUGUAUGGAUUAUAAUGCAACAUGACUACUUUUAUUAA